rnacentral:lncRNA from 1 species
AUGUCUCAUGCCUGCCUCCCAGAGCAAGUGAGAUGCCCUUCCUAUGGCACAAGAACAGAAAAUAUUUGGAAAAUUCAUCAGUUGAGAAAGAUCCUCCCCCCAUUCCAGUACCCCAUGAGUUUUGGGGAGCUUGUUGUGCUUACUUAUUGUAUGAAAGACAAAAUCUUCUCUUUCCGAGAAUUUGGAAGCAUGCUGACAUUGAGUGGGCAAGGAGAGAAAAGAAAUCAACAGAUUCUUUUUGUGAGAAGCAAGUGAGUAACCCGGGUGU